GACAGAGGCCUCAAGCGUUAGGCGGAAUCACUGGGCUUAAAGCGUGUGUAGGCGGGUCGUUAAGUACCUUGUGAAAUCCCACGGCUCACCCGUGGAACUGCUGGGUAUACUGGCGAUCUUGGGCCAUUUAGGGGCAACUGGAACAAGCGGUGGAGCGGUGAAAUGCGUAGAUAUCGCUUGGAACGCCAAAGGUGAAAACAGGUUGC
rnacentral:rRNA from 1 species